rnacentral:rRNA from 1 species
UAAGCGUGCGCAGGCGGUUAUAUAAGACAGAUGUGAAAUCCCCGGGCUCAACCUGGGAACUGCAUUUGUGACUGUAUAGCUGGAGUGCGGCAGAGGGGGAUGGAAUUCCGCGUGUAGCAGUGAAAUGCGUAGAUAUGCGGAGGAACACCGAUGGCGAAGGCAAUCCCCUGGGCCUGCACUGACGCUCAUGCACGAAAGCGUGGGGAGCAAACAGGAUUAGAUACCCGUGU